rnacentral:rRNA from 1 species
UACAGAGGGUGCGAGCGUUGUCCGGAAUCACUGGGCGUAAAGGGCGCGUAGGCGGCUUGAUAAGCGUGCGGUGAAAGCCCGGGGCUCAACCCCGGGUCGGCCGUGCGAACUGUCGAGCUGGAGCACUGUAGAGGCAGGUGGAAUUCCGGGUGUAGCGGUGGAAUGCGUAGAGAUCCGGAAGAACACCGGUGGCGAAGGCGGCCUGCGUGGGCAGUGGGCUGACGCU